GAUGAACGCUAGUGGCAGGCUUAACACAUGCAAGUCGAGGGGUAUAGUUCUUCGGAGCUAGAGACCGGCGCACGGGUGCGUAACGCGUAUGCAAUCUACCUUUUGCAGAGGGAUAGCCCAGAGAAAUUUGGGUUAAUACCUCAUAGUAUGUGAGAAUGGCAUCAUUUUCACAUUAAAGUCACAACGGCAAAAGAUGAGCAUGCGUCCCAUUAGCUUGUUGGUAAGGUAACGGCUUACCAAGGCAACGAUGGGUAGGGGUACUGAGAGGGAGAUCCCCCAAACUGGAACUGAGACACGGACCAGACUCCUACGGGAGGCAGCAGUGAGGAAUAUUGGACAAUGGGCGCAAGCCUGAUCCAGCCAUGCCGCGUGCAGGAUGACGGUCCUAUGGAUUGUAAACUGCUUUUGUACAGGAAGAAACACUGGUUCGUGAACCAGCUUGACGGUACUGUAAGAAUAAGGAUCGGCUAACUCCGUGCCAGCAGCCGCCGUAACAC
rnacentral:rRNA from 1 species